AAAAUUUUUAAUUUUUGACGCAAAGAGCAUGUGACAUAAACAAUAAGUUAUUAUUAGAUGCUGUAUUAUUGUUUUCUCUUCCCAAAUUCUCUCAACUCACACGACUUUGACUUCUCCUUGACCAGCAGCUCAUGGUUUCAUUGGCCUCCAGUAGUGGUGCUUUCCCACCUACGAAGACUCCCCUUUACGCCGGCGACCACAUGAUCAGUAGCCUCCAUUUCAGUCGCACCAACUACAACCCGCAAGCCGUAGUUCACGACUUUUAUCUCAAACCAGUCCUAAUACUAGUGCUGCUUCUUUUGCCUAACUGCCGCUGUCAUCACCCCUGAACUAUCCCGACACAACCCAUCAACCACUGAUGUCUCACAACUCGUUUACACAUGCCUUACAAUGUAAGACAUUAACUGGCCUAUCUAAUAGAAUUA
rnacentral:lncRNA from 1 species